rnacentral:rRNA from 1 species
AUACGUAGGGGGCGAGCGUUAUCCGGAAUUAUUGGGCGUAAAGAGUGCGUAGGUGGCCAUGUAAGCGCGGGGUGAAAGGCAAUAGCUUAACUAUUGUAAGCCUUGCGAACUGCAUGGCUUGAGUGCAGGAGAGGAAAGUGGAAUUCCCAGUGUAGCGGUGAAAUGCGUAGAGAUUGGGAGGAACACCAGUGGCGAAGGCGACUUACUGGACUGUAACUGACGCUGAGGCGCGAAAGUGUGGGGAGCAAACAGGAUGAGAUACCCUGGUAGUCCACACUGUAAACGAUGAAUGCUAGGUGUAGGGGGUAUCGACCCCUUCUGUGCUGCAGUCAACACAAUAAGCAUUCCGCCUGGGGAGUACGGCCGCAAGGUUGAAACUCAAAUGAAUUGACGGGG